GCUGACUAAAUACUUUUUUGCCCCACUGUAUGUAGUAAAACGAGUACCAGUAAAAAAAACUGCACUUUAAAAUCAGACCAAUAUUUUCACAAGUUGAUAUCAUGAUGUCGAUUAAACAGACCUAUACGCUGCUGCUUCAAAGGGACAGUUAGUUAUCGAAGAUAGUGGCACUUACAGCUCUGUGUGUGUGUCCUAGCUGUUCCCACAGAUUGAGGAGACGAUGGUGCAGCCACUCAGAGAGUCAAGAGACCGGUAUGAAGAACUCAAACAGAUUGAUGACGCCAUGAAUGAGGUGCAGAAAAUGAAAAAUGAGAACUUGACCAUGGGAGGGAAGAAGUAAGAGGUUUUAAAAAGCAGUGAGUGGGCAGACCCCUCGCUCCGUCAUGGCUGCAGGCUCUGGUCCCAGCGCUGCAGGAAGACGUGAUGGAGAGGAUCUGAGACAGCAACUGUGAGACAACGUUACAAACCAGCAGGGACUCCACGACCGGACAGACAAUCCAAAGCCUUUUCAGGAAGCGUCCACAUUUGUACAGCACAGACUACUUCAGUGAACUAUAUUGAGAUACAUUUCUUGCAUUGUAUUUUAUUUGAAAUGUGUUGUUUUUUACAGAUUGUACAGAUUUUUAGUGACCCUUGUUCUUUCCUACAACAAUUAAAUGGAUUUCUUUAAUUACAAAA